AAGACUCUAGUAAAACAAUUACUCUGCCUUGUCAAGGCAAAAUUGCAAGUGAAAACCUUGCGUGUCUUU
rnacentral:tRNA from 1 species